rnacentral:tRNA from 1 species
GGACAGUUGGGAGAGUUGGUUUAAUCCAGUCGCCUGGAACGCGGCCGUAGGGAAACUUACCGAGGGUUCGAAUCCCUCACUGUCCACCA